UACGAAGGGGGCUAGCGUUGUUCGGAAUUACUGGGCGUAAAGCGCGCGCAGGCGGUCUUCCAAGUCAGUGGUGAAAGCCCGGAGCUCAACUCCGGAACUGCCAUUGAAACUGUGAGACUUGAGGAUGAGAGAGGUGAGUGGAAUUCCCAGUGUAGAGGUGAAAUUCGUAGAUAUUGGGAAGAACACCGGUGGCGAAGGCGGUUAGCUGGGCAGUUGCUGACACUGAGGCGCGACAGCGUGGGGAGCAAACAGGG
rnacentral:rRNA from 1 species